CUGUUACCCCGUGACAAAGUUGUGUCCCUCUUCAUGGCAGACAAAGGUACAUUCUUGGGUUAUGUCAUUCAUUGUUCACUGGGGCAUAUUUAAGCACAAAAAGUUCCCCAUAAACAUUUGAAGUAUCAGAGUCUAAUACUGGUUUUCUGGUGUGCUCCUGGAAACAGGUUUUCACAAAAUCCCUUUUCUGACCAAGGUUUAUAAAACUAAUCUAAACUUGUCUGUUCCUCCCCUUUACUAGAGAUAAUAUCCUAUCCUAGCCAUCCCACCUAAUGGGUAAAGCAAAGCUGAAAGUUCUUCCUCACUUUGAUGGUUUGGGAUCAGUUUCUUAUGAUAAAUCACAGAUUCUGGGGCCUGUGACAUCAGAGGCACAGCUGUUAGUUUACCAGUAACAUUGAAAGACAUUCUGGCAUGUAUUUUUGCAGCCUUCAGGGUGUUUUUAAAGAGCAAGCUUCAUAACUUUUUGAUAUGUUGGGUAAGAGGGGGUGGAUGCAAAAGUAAACAGUCACACUGUGGGAGCUGCCAAAUCAAACCCAGGGAUCCUGGCAGGGAGGAGAGGGAGGGAGAAUGACUGUGCUGGAGCAACACUCAGAGCAGAGAGAACUCUCUUACACUGAGGCUUCAGCCUGUCUUAAAGUAAAAGUUUUCAUCUCUCUUUAUCCUAAUAACUAUUAAGUAGUAAGCCUGCUUUGAUACUGAAUGCAGAAAACACUGAUUUUUGCUGUCAACUUUGUAAACAUUUUCACAAUAUCUGUCUCCUUUGCUUUGCACUGUGUUUCUCUGAGAAACUCAGAGAAAAUUAAUUCCUAAAUGUGAAAAGGAACUUUAACUUUUUUACUGCAUUUCAGGGCUGGAUAUGGCUCUGAGCUGGGCAGAAAGGUCUGUUCAGCCAUUUCUCAUCACAAAAUCACUUUUCUGUUCCUUUCCCUCUCCAUUUCCAGCAUUUUGAUCUCAGGAUGAAAAUUAAGAAUAAAUGUUAAAGAACAUGUUCGUUCUUAGAGAUAUGAUGUGCACAACUUGUGAGGAAAAAUCCCAGCUUGACUGCCACAUCAGACAAGUUAGAAAUACAAAAGGACUUCCUGCUCUGACAAAAGCUCUGGCUGGAUGCUAAUCACUCAUUUGCCGUAUGUGUGAGGAAACCACUGACAACCAAUACUCUAAGAAAGGUCCUAAAACACAGUGCACUGGUCUGCGGAGUAAGGAAAAGCACUGGUUAUUCAAAUAACAGUACAUGUGGACAACUGCAUGGAUCUGACAGUAAACUACCACCUUCACCAAUUCUAAUGGGAUUACUUAGUGCAAAUGUCUCUUGGAGGCCACUUUUAUGAACCUGUU
rnacentral:lncRNA from 1 species